UGCAUUCACUACUGUAAGUCGCUCUGGAUAAGAGCAUAUGAUAAAUGACUAAAA
rfam:Salmo salar isolate Sally breed double haploid chromosome ssa16, whole genome shotgun sequence.